rnacentral:rRNA from 1 species
GAAAGUAAUAAAGGGCGUAUGGGGGAUGCCUAGGCUCUUGGAGGCGAAGAAAGACGUGGUAAGCUGCGAUAAGCCUCGGGGAUUUGCAAACGAGAAUUGAUCCGAGGAUUUCUGAAUGGGACAACCCGGCAGGCAGAAGGCCUGUCACACGAAAGUGGGCCAACCCUCUGAACUGAAACAUCUUAGUAGGAGGAGGAAAAGAAAGAAACAUCGAUUACCUAAGUAGCGGCGAGCGAACGGGUAAGAGCCUAAACCGGAAGUGUUACGGCACUUUCGGGGUUGUAGGACUGCAACAACGUUUUGGACGAAGAACCGGAAGUACCUGGAAAGGUAUGCCGCAGAGAGUGAAAGCCUCGUACGGGCAAUUCGGUUCAAUGCAAGCAGUAUCCUGAGUAGGGCGGGACACGAGGAAUCCUGUCUGAAUCGACCGGGACCACCCGGUAAGGCUAAAUACUACCAAGAGACCGAUAGUGAACCAGUACCGUGAGGGAAAGGUGAAAAGAACCCCGAACAGGGGAGUGAAAUAGAACCUGAAACCAUACGCUUACAACCGGUCGGAGCAGCUUCGUGCUGUGACGGCGUGCCUAUUGAAUAAUGAGCCUACGAGUUACUAAUCACUAGCGAGGUUAAGUGCUGGGAAGCACGGAGCCGAAGCGAAAGCGAGUCUGAAAAGGGCGGUUAGUUAGUGGUUGUAGACGCGAAACCUUGCGAUCUACCCUUGAGCAGGAUGAAGGUUGGGUAAAACCAACUGGAGGUCCGCACCAAUAAACGUUGAAAAGUUUCUGGAUGACUUGAGGGUAGGGGUGAAAGGCUAAUCAAGCUGGGAAAUAGCUCGUACUCCCCGAAAUGCCUUUAGGGGCAGCGUUGUAAUAAAGAGUCUACUGGAGGUAGAGCUACUGAUUGGAUGCGGGGGCUUCACCGCCUACCAAAUCCUGACAAACUCCGAAUGCCAGUAGUAUGAUUUACAGCAGUGAGCGACCGGGUGCUAAUGUCCGGUCACAAAAGAGGAACAACUCAGACCAGCAACUAAGGUCCCCAAGAAUAUGCUAAGUUGAACUAACGAUGUUUUGUUGCAGAGACAGCUAGGAUGUUAGCUUGGAAGCAGCUAUUCAUUCAAAGAGUGCGUAACAGCUCACUAGUCGAGCGACAGAGCGUGGAUAAUAAACGGGCAUCAAGCAUAUCACCGAAGUUCUGGACACGAAAGUGUGGUAGGGGAGCAUUCCAUCGACGUCGAAGCCGUGCCGUGAGGCGUGGUGGAGUUUAUGGAAAAGCAAAUGUAGGCAUAAGUAACGACAAUGCGGGAGAGUAACCCGCACACCGCAAGACCAAGGUUUCCUGAUCAACGCUAAUCGGAUCAGGGUUAGUCGGGUCCUAAGGGUAAGCCGAACGGCGAUCUCGAUGGAUAAUCGGUUAAUAUUCCGAUACUAACAUAUACCUCGAUGGAGAGACGAAGGAACGUAAGUGCCGCCACCUGACGGAAUAGGUGGUUAAAGGAUUUAGGUAUAGGGACGGAUUAAGAGUCGGUUCCUGCUGAAUUCCGACAGUACAGAGAGCCUACGGGCAAUUUGAUAGUGCACCCAAGUCGACUUCCGAGAAAAUCUUCUAAGGCUAGGUAUAUGUCACCCGUACCGUAAACCGACACAGGUGGUCGAGGAGAGUAUCCUAAGGUGCUCGAGUGAAUCACGGUUAAGGAACUAGGCAAAUUAACCCCGUAACUUCGGGAAAAGGGGUCCCACCGCGAGGUGGGCGCAGCGAAGAGGUCCAGGCGACUGUUUAUCAAAAACACAGGGCUCUGCAAAUUCGAAAGAAGACGUAUAGGGCCUGACACCUGCCCGGUGCUGGAAGGUUAAGAGGGGAUGUCAUCGCAAGAGAAGCAUUGAAUCGAAGCCCCAGUAAACGGCGGCCGUAACUAUAACGGUCCUAAGGUAGCGAAAUUCCUUGUCGGGUAAGUUCCGACCUGCACGAAUGGUGUAAUGAUCUGGACGCUGUCUCAACCGUGAGCUCAGUGAAAUUGUAGUAUCGGUGAAGAUGCCGAUUACCCGCGAUGGGACGAAAAGACCCCGUGAACCUUUACUAUAGCUUAACAUUGAAUUUGGGUAAUUGAUGUGUAGGAUAGGCCGGAGGCUUUGAAGCAGGUACGCCAGUAUUUGUGGAGCCGCUGUUGAAAUACGGCCCUUUGAUUAUUUGAGUUCUAACCCGUUGUAACGGGGACACUGUUUGGUGGGUAGUUUGACUGGGGUGGUCGCCUCCAAAAGCGUAACGGAGGCUUCUA